CACGAGAUGUUAAACACAACCCCAGCUCGAAAAUUUUACAGAGUUGUAGAAAUUUAACUAAAUUGGAAUACAAAAAGUUUAGCGUUUUAAAUGCUGACUUUUUAUACACAUAUAAAACUGCUGAUUUAGUUUUGGAUGAUUUUGAACGCUGGUUGUGUAAGAUCAAAAGUUUAAACAGGGUAAACGCUCAAGCCCAUUGUUCCCAUGUGAAUAAAAUAUGGAAAGUUGUAGAUCCGUUAAAAAGGUGCCUAUCUGUGAAUGCUUUGACAGAUGCCAAUCUUUUGUCAGAUUUUCAUGCUGGGUCUUUAGUUAAAAAUAUCAAGAUGCAGCAAAAGGUUGCGCCUACUCAACAAAGUGCCCAUAUACAACCAAGAACUAUUCUUUUGAAAAUGGGAUUACUAAAUAAAUUUUUAGAUUUUUUGAAAGGAAGACAAAUUUAUAUUGGUCUCAAUGUUAAUCAAUUGUCUAACGUCUUUCUUAGAAUUAAAGAAAUGAGUAGUUCUUUGAAACCCUUCCUAUCGCAAAGAGAAUUUGAUUUAAAAAACUUUAAAAAACUCCACCUUAUAACACGUGAAGUCUUUUUAACAUACGAAAACAGUAGACACAUUGUGCAGCUUAAAAAGAUACUUAACUCAACUGUCAAUAAACCAAACUUCCAAGAAGCCAUUGACAUUCGAGAUUACCUAAUGGUUUUGAUUUGUUUUUGAAACCCCACCAGAUCGUCCAACUUGAUUAAUAUGACAAUACAGGAUUUUGAAGAUUCCUACCAAGAUCCUGAGUACCCUGGGGCUGCCAUAUUUUGAUCAGUGCGCUAUAAAACUAGCGUGAUCUAUGGAACCAAGAUUAUUGUAAUGGAUAAGGAGCUCCAACAAUUUUUAACGACAUAUGUUGACUUUUUUUGCCUGUUUUGUUCCGUAAAAAACCAAAUAAAACCUCGCCAUUGUUUGCAACCAAAAGCAAGUUGUCAAUGACACAGUCUGCGGUUGCAAACAAAAUGACGACUAGAUUUAAAAAAGGCUCAGGUCUUUGACAAUGAAAAGAAAUUCAGUCGUGUUUGUCCGACACGAAUUCGUAUAUCAAUUGCUAGCGAGUUAGCUUGCCAAAGAGAAGAAGGCAUGGAAGACGUUGCCAUCAUUUACAUGAAAAAUAAGCCACAAACGACUAAACGCUUUUAUGUGACAAAUUUUAAUGAAAGAAAGUCAGCCCGUAUCAGUAUACAAGUUGGGCAGCAUUAUGGGUUGGCAAAGAAAUUUCAGCUAAGUGAAAUGUCUUCUAAAUAGCUUCAGAAACGGUUAGCAAAAACUGCUGAACAAAUAAAGGGCAUUUCUGGGGAGGAGUAUGUUGAUACUGAAAUAAAUCAGUAUCUAAGUAAACAUAUUAAAGACAAAGCAUGAGUCUUCAGACAACGAUCAACCUGAAAGUAAGAAACGAAUUGCUUUUCAGGAUAACUCUGACGUAGAUAAUGAUGGCGUUAAUUUCGAGACAGGUGGUUGAACUUGAUAAAAAGAGUAAGUUUAUUAUAAUUAUAAAAUAAGGUUUCAUUUAGAACUGCUAAAUAAAACUUCUUAGGUAAAUGUAUUAAAGAAAUUUGCCAGGGGUAAUGGCAUAUCAAUGGUAGUUGUUACAAAUGUUUAUAAUAUUUUUAUUUCUUAAAACUUAGUUCCACUAACAGUUAAUCAUCCGAUUAAAACUUCAUCUAAAAAUGAAGUUUGUACAGGUAAUCCUGUCCAUAGUACUUAUGUUUGGUUAAUUAAUAAUAAAUUUUUUUUUUAGUAAAUUAAAUACAUACACUUUUCGAUGCUGUAACAAGUUUUUCCUGACAAAUUCACAUCAUUUUUUUUACUAGAUGAUCUUAGUGAAUCAACUAUUAUAGUUAAGUCUAUUUUGUUGAGCCUUAUAGAUUCGGUUAUUUGCAGAAAUUUAUUGUAACUAAACUAAUAAACUACUGCUAAUUACCUUAAUACAGUAACUUUUGUUAUAGGUCGUUAAAAAGUUCUUUGUUUUAAUUGAAGGCUCUACAAAGUAUAAAAACCUUUCAAAAUAAAAUACAGACACUCUCACUAAAUGUUCUUCAAAAUAAAAUACAGACACUCUCACUAAAGAAGACUUUUUAAAAUGGAAUAUAUCUGACCUACAGAACUUUUUAUUUAAAAGAAUUAAUUAAUCAAACUGGAAAAGAGCAACUUUAGCAAAGAAUGCUUACUAUGUUUAAGGAUGAAAAAAAUGAAUUUAAAAAUGACAAGUUGAAUAAAAGAAAAACUUUAUCAAAAUAAAUUGUAGACCCAAAAUCAUUAAAUAAAUGGUUGGGUUUUUGAUCCUUUGCUAUUCCCAGAUGUAACAUAUGCAGAAGUUCAGUUAUAUUUAAACAUAAAAAAUGCUCGUAAAGCUUUUACAGGUCGCAAAAAUUUACUUAAAUCAGACCAUCUUUUUAAUAUUCGGUAUCACAUUAUCAACUCUGACUUUAAAUAUUGUUACAUUGCAGUGUUUAGGUAUUGAUUAAUAAAAAGCAUCAUACAAUUAUAUCAUAAUAAAAUCUGCAGAUUGCGAUUGUGCAGCUGGGUAUGUUAAUUAAAAAUUUAUUUGGAAGUAUUAUGUUUUUGCUAAAAUAAACUUUUUGAUAACUUUUUGGUUUUAUGUUAGUCUGAAUAACUAACUUUAUUUUAUAAAUAAAUAUUAUUUCAAAAUCUUUGUUAUGGAGCCUAGUUUAAAGAAAGACUCAAUUCUGCAAGUACUUUGAAAUUUUGAAACUUUUUAUAUUGAUAGAAACAUUUUAUUUUUUAUUUAUUAAAUUUGCUUUUUCAUUUAUUUUUAAAAAACAAGUAUACUAUUUUAGUUUUAGAAUCUCUAACUGCUGUAAAAAUGUGGGUGCACUUUUAAGGUAUGUUGAACAUAGUGUAAAGAUUGAUGUCAAUAAAACAUAUACGACCUCUCAAAUGGCUCAAACCAUCAAAAAAAAUUCAAAAACUAUCUGGACCAUCAAUGCUAAGUUAAAUUGACACCUCUAUUACAAGAUACCUCAGUAUUAAUAAGAAAAAAACUUUUAAAUAGUUUAAAAUUAGAUCCACGAGCCACAUAUCAAUAUGAAGUUUCCAUGAAAUAAAGAUUCUUUAGGGCGAGUAAAAAAUUAUAAUUGUCGAUAUGUCAUGCUUACACAAACAAAAAAUGUUGUUCCCAUACCAGUUCUUUCCAAUGUUGCUCAAUAAAUCAAAGUUAAUACUCCAUUGUCUCCCUAUCUCCCUAAGACAUCGAUAAAGUUGUAACUUAUUUAGAUUCUAAGAUUACAUAUAAAGUUUUAUUGAUGCAGUUAGCUACAAAUUUUGACGAAAUUUCCAAACUUGACAAGAAAGCAGUCAUGUAAUAAUGAUUGACAUAAACACCACUGUCAAUGUCAAAAGUUUAUAGUGUUGUUUGUAAAGUAAAUAAUUACCUGAAGAUUUUAUGUCCAGAAAAAAUAACAUCAAUUAUAGUGGCGUAUUAUAUAAAUCAAACGUUUUUAAAACGAAAGCUACUUUCUUAAGAUUACGUCAUGAAAAAGAUGUACUCGAAAUAUAGUUUAAAGAAAAUUAAAAAAAAAAUCAUAGAUUUAUGAAAGUGAGUGAGUGUGGUUUAUUUGUAAAUAAAGAUUUACCAUUAGUGCAUCACCUGAUUUCCUUGUUCAUUGUGAUUAUUGAGGCAAUGGAUGUGUAAAGGUUUAAUGUCCAUGGACUCGUAGAGGUUUAACAAUUCCAGAAUUUGAGGCUAUCAAAGGCACAUGUUUAAUAUUUGAAAAAAUACAAUUGUAAUUAAUCCUCAACAUUGUUAUUAGUCAAGUGCAGUGUCAAAUGGCUACAACAGGUUUUCAUAUUUUGAUUUUGGAACUUCAAAAGACUUACAUUAUCGGACAAAAC